CCGGGGUUGGAAGGCAGACUCAGACUUAGAAACUUUUCAUCUCAGAGACAGUGUGGGGAUCUGAAUGCUGAGGAGGAGAAGACUAAAAGACCUUCUACUGUCAAGGGAUGCCAAGCAUCACGCUGAUCAGAUGCGUCCUGGGCUGUGGCACACAGCUGAUGAGGAGACUGGGGACGGGCAAAUACAUUUCUCAUGGUAACAUAGCUGGAAUUUUCAUAGAUACCCUGAAAUCUAUCAAUGGACUCUUUGAUGGUUAAUGGACUCCAGAUUAACAC